rnacentral:rRNA from 1 species
GAUGAACGCUGGCGGCGUGCCUAAUACAUGCAAGUCGAGCGAACGGACGAGAAGCUUGCUUUUCUGAUGUUAGCGGCGGACGGGUGAGUAACACGUGGAUAACCUACCUAUAAGACUGGGAUAACUUCGGGAAACCGGAGCUAAUACCGGAUAAUAUUUUGAACCGCAUGGUUCAAAAGUGAAAGACGGUCUUGCUGUCACUUAUAGAUGGAUCCGCGCUGCAUUAGCUAGUUGGUAAGGUAACGGCUUACCAAGGCAACGAUGCAUAGCCGACCUGAGAGGGUGAUCGGCCACACUGGAACGGAGACACGGUCCAGACUCCUACGGGAGGCAGCAGUAGGGAAUCUUCCGCAAUGGGCGAAAGCCUGACGGAGCAACGCCGCGUGAGUGAUGAAGGUCUUCGGAUCGUAAAACUCUGUUAUUAGGGAAGAACAUAAGUGUAAGUAACUGUGCACAUCUUGACGGUACCUAAUCAGAAAGCCACGGCUAACUAC